rnacentral:tRNA from 1 species
GGCGAGGUAGCUCAGCUGGUUAGAGCGUCGGAAUCAUAAUCCGCAGGUCGUGGGUUCGAAUCCCUCCCUCGCUA